CCAGGGAAGCCCAAGAAAAGUACAGUGGGUAACCUAUCCCUUCUCCAGUGGAUCUUCCCGACCCAGGAAUCAAACCAGGGUCUCCUGCACUGCAUGUGGAUUCUUUAGCAACUGAGCUAUCAGGGAAGCCCUAUAUUAAAAGUAAUGUCAUUAAAAAAAAUAAGUAAAAAUCAGUAGCCAAAAGUUAUAAACGGAGAUAAAACUAAUCUUUGGCAAAAGUUGUUCAAUCUACUGAAUAGAUAACCAUUAUGCAGGCUUCCUUAGCCAGCUGCUUUUCCUUUAGGACCAUUCCUGAAUAAUAACAUGGUAAAUGGUUAAAAGCUAACACACAGCCUCCCAUGGUGAAGAUGCAGCUGGAGAUGCCUGCAUGAGUGCUCAGUCUUGUCUGACUCUGCGAUCCCAUGGACUGCAGCCCACCAGGCUCCUCUGAAUUUUCCAGGCAAGAAUACUGGAGUGGAUUGCCAUUUCCUUCUCCAGAAGAUCUACCCGAUCCAGGAUCUCCUGCAUUAGCCAGUGGAUUCUUUACCAUGUGCCACCUGGGAAGCUCACAGCUAGAGAAAAUGACACAGAAUACUUUGGUUUACUUAACUUCUGCAGACUCUUCCCUCUCUCCAUUCAUUGAACUUUGCCUUAGGCAGUGAUUUUAAUGAUGAGACAGAAGGCACAUUUAUCCUAUUUUUUGGAUAAUGUGAAGCAGGACAUAUAGAAAAUGCGCUGAAUGGCGGAAUUGGAGAUCAGAAAGAUUUCAACAGGCCAGAAAGAUAGACUAAAUGAAACAAGAACAUUUAAAAAACUGUGUCAAAGUGUCUGCAAUAUGGGUCAUCAAACACUAUGACUGGCCCAGUAUAACGAGACCACACGGCUCCCAAUGAAAAAGCCUCGGGUCUUUUAACCAAGAGCAUGUCCCGCAAGCCUCCAGGGUACAAAGUGGCUGACAGAAAGGGCUCCUUUGAUCUUAGGCUGCAGUAACAAAAGUAUAGUGAGCUGGGAGACACAGGCUCUAAAAGAAGCUGAAUGCCUGAAUCAGUCAAAAUGAGAUAAACAGCAGCAGCACCAACCUAGGUGAGGAACAGGUGCGCAGGGAUGGAGUGAAGCAGGUGGAGCCAAAAGAAGAGUGGUGGGUAAGUGGAGGUUCCCUAAGGAACUCCAUCAGAACUUAUCAGCAUUGGAGUAGUACCUGCCUGGUGAAUUCAGCAGUUUCCCUAAGGAAGAUUGUGAGCAUGUGCUACUCAGAUCUCAGAGGCUGAGCUGUGAAGCAGAGAUGUGCUGGGAGAUGGGUUUGUUUGUUUUUUUUUUUUCAUAUAACACAGAAGGGUUUUAAAAAGUCAUUUGGUUCUUGUAACCAACCACACAUAAGUAUGCUACGCAGUGUGUAGUGUGGAGCAGUUUUUCUUUGCUCUGAAACCACCUAACCUACGAGGGGAUGAAGAAGUCCUGACUGAGCCUUUGUGACUAGAAGCUGAUCGGCUCCACACUUGGUCCACUGAAGGAGGACAAGGCCCUGGGUCCCCUCCUGCCUCUCACAUGAUGCUCCCAUAUCAUUGUUCGGUCUUGAAUAUUAAAGCUGUUGGUUUUACCAACAGUCUGCCUCUGAAUAGGAAUCCUCAAGAGAAUGUUUGUAGCUGAUAACAAGAGAGAGUGUCUGGUUUUGCAGGAGAUGAAAUGUUCUUUUGUAUCUGAGCAGGAAGCAAGCAGAUAGUGUAUUUCAAUAGCUUUUUAUACCCACCAGGCACAUUGAAAUUGAUCUUUUCCAUCACUAUUAUCUAUAAAACCCCUUUCCUUCGUGAUUUAGUUGGAAGAGCGCUGCAGCCUAUUCUCAUCCAAAAGUAUUAUCUGUUUUCAGU
ensembl:lncRNA